GACGAACGCUGGCGGCGUGCUUAACACAUGCAAGUCGAACGGAAAGGCCCUGCUUUUGUGGGGUGCUCGAGUGGCGAACGGGUGAGUAACACGUGAGUAACCUGCCCUUGACUUUGUGAUAACUUCAGGAAACUGGGGCUAAUACCGGAUAGGAGCUCCUGCUGCAUGGUGGGGGUUGGAAAGUUUCGGCGGUUGGGGAUGGACUCGCGGCUUAUCCGCUUGUUGGUGGGGUAGUGGCUUACGAAGGCUUUGACGGGUAGCCGGCCUGAGAGGGUGGCCGGGGACAUUGGGACUGAGAUACGGCCCAGACUCCUACGGGAGGCAGCAGUGGGGAAUAUUGCACAAUGGGCGGAAGCCUGAUGCAGCAACGCCGCGUGCGGGAUGACGGCCUUCGGGUUGUAAACCGCUUUCGCCUGUGACGAAGCGUGAGUGACGGUAAUGGGUAAAGAAGCACCGGCUAACUACGUG
rnacentral:rRNA from 1 species